GAGUUUGAUCCUGGCUCAGGAUGAAAAAUGGCGGCGUGCUUAACACAUGCAAGUCGAACGGGGUACCCCCAAAGGAGUUUUCGGACAACUGCGGGGAAUACCUAUUGGCGGACGGGUGAGUAACGCGUGAGUAACCUGCCUUGGAGUGGGGAAUAACAGCUGGAAACAGCUGCUAAUACCGCAUAAUGCAGUUGGGUCGCAUGGCUCUGACUGCCAAAGAUUUAUCGCUCUGAGAUGGACUCGCGUCUGAUUAGCUAGUUGGUGGGGCAACGGCCCACCAAGGCGACGAUCAGUAGCCGGACUGAAAGGUUGGCCGGCCACAUUGGGACUGAGACACGGCCCACACUCCUACGGGAGGCAGCAGUGGGGAAUAUUGGGCAAUGGGCGCAAGCCUGACCCAACAACGCCGCGUGAAGGAAGAAGGCUUUCGGGUUGUAAACUUCUUUUCUCAGGGACGAAGCAAGUGACGGUACCUGACGAAUAAGCCACGGCUAACUACGUGCCAACAUCCGCGGUAAUACCUAGGUGGCAAGCGUUAUCCGGAUUUACUGGGUGUAAAGGGCGUGUAGGCGGGAAAGCAAGUCAGAUGUGAAAACCAUGGGCUCAACCUGUGGCCUGCCAUUUGAAACUGUUUUUCUUGAAUACUGGAGAGGCAUACGGAAUUCC
rnacentral:rRNA from 1 species